rnacentral:misc_RNA from 1 species
UUUCCGUAGGUGAACCUGCGGAAGGAUCAUUAUUGUAUAACCGAGGUGCGAGGGCUGUCGCUGACCCGAAAGGUCGUGCACGCCCGUGUGCCCUCACACACAUCCAUCUCACCCCUAUGUGCACCACCGCGUGGGUCCCCCUUUGGCUUGUUCGGAGGGGGGCUUACGUUUUCACACAAACUUUGUAUGCAGUGUAGAAUGUAUUUUUUGUUUUUGCGAUCACGCAAUCGAUGCAACAUUCAACAACGGAUCUCUUGGCUUUCGCAUCGAGAAGAACGCAGC